UAACGGCGAGUGAAGCGGCAACAGCUCAAAUUUGAAAUCUGGCUCUCGGGCCCGAGUUGUAAUUUGUAGAGGAUGUUUCUGGCGACGUGUCUUCCGAGUUCCCUGGAACGGGACGCCAUAGAGGGUGAGAGCCCCGUCCGGUCGUACGCCUAGCCUCUGUGAAACUCCUUCGACGAGUCGAGUAGUUUGGGAAUGCUGCUCAAAAUGGGAGGUAUACGUCUUCUAAAGCUAAAUACCGGCCAGAGACCGAUAGCGCACAAGUAGAGUGAUCGAAAGAUGAAAAGCACUUUGAAAAGAGGGUUAAAUAGUACGUGAAAUUGCUGAAAGGGAAGCGCUCAUGACCAGACUUGGGCUCGGUGAAUCAUCCGGCGUUCUCGCCGGUGCACUUUGCCGGCCCAGGCCAGCAUCAGCUCGCCUCGGGGGAUAAAGGCUUCGGGAAUGUAGCUCCCUCGUGGAGUGUUAUAGACCGUUGCGUAAUACCCUGGGGCGGGCUGAGGUACGCGUCUGCA
rnacentral:rRNA from 1 species